rnacentral:misc_RNA from 1 species
UCUUUCUCCUUGCCUUUGUCGGAAGAUUCAUUUUUGUUACGACGGGAACGGGAUGAUGAUUCGACAGGGGUGGUAGAGUCCAUGGGUGCAGGAUGAGCGCGAGUGGGGCGAGUGGAACGAGUGCGGGCAGUGGCGACAGCGAUUGAAGGAGCAGUGGCAGUAGCAGCGGUGGAGGUGGAAGAGGAAGUAGUAGUGGCGGCAGUAAGUCGAGAGCGUUUCCGGGAGCGGGUGGUGGGACCGGAGGACGAAGAUGAAGGGGCUGUUGAGGAGGCCUCCGCCCGCUUCCGGCUCCGCGUUUCCAUACAAAAACUAAGCCUCCCCGAUUAAAUCCGUGGUCGCGAUUCACGCGGCACCGGAUCGGGUAGUAAUCCUCGGCAUCUGAAAGCAAGAAAAUUUAAAAAAUCACUGAAAAUUGAGGAGAAUGCAACAUUCGUUCCGGUCGAAAUCAAGCAAUCCAACCAACGAAUCAAUUCAAAACCCUAGAAAUUAUAUACAAGUAAAUAAUUACAGAGGGAGAAUUGAGUAAAUUGGAUGGGUAAAUUUGGGGAAUUAGGGACUUGUGAGGAAGAA